rnacentral:rRNA from 1 species
CCUACGGGUGGCAGCAGUGAGGAAUAUUGGUCAAUGGGCGAGAGUCUGAACCAGCCAAGUAGCGUGAAGGAUGAAUGCCCUGUGGAUUGUAAACCUCUUUUAUAAGGGAAUAAAAUGAGGGACUCGUGCCUGUUCGCAUGUACCUUAUGAAUAAGGAUCGGCUAACUCCGUGCCAGCAGCCGCGGUAAUACGGAGGAUCCGAGAGUUAUCCGGAUUUAUUGGGUUUAAAGGGUGCGUAGGCGGCCUGUUAAGUCAGCUGUGAAAGUCAGGGGCUCAACCGUAGAAUUGCCGUUGAAACUGGCGGGCUUGAGUACGGUUGAGGUAGGCGGAAUGCGUGGUGUAGCGGUGAAAUGCUUAGAUAUCACGCAGAACCCCGAUUGCGAAGGCAGCGUACCAAGCCGUGACUGACGCUGAUGCACGAAAGCGUGGGUAUCGAACAGGAUUAGAUACCCGGGUAGUC